rnacentral:rRNA from 1 species
GUCUACGGCCAUGCCACCCUGACCAAAUCCGAUCAUGUCUGAUCUUGAAAGCCUAUGCAGAGUCAGUCCUGGUUAGUACUUGGAUGGGAGACCACCUAAGAAGACCAGGUGCUGUAGGUG